UACGAACGCUGGCGGCGUGCCUAACACAUGCAAGUCGAACGGAGUGAUGAUUUCGGUUAUCACUUAGUGGCGAACGGGUGAGUAACGCGUGAGAAACCUGCCUUUCAGUGGGGGACAACAGUUGGAAACGACUGCUAAUACCGCAUAAGCCCACGGAACCGCAUGGUUCAGAGGGAAAAGGAGCAAUUCGCUUUGGGAUGGACUCGCGUCCGAUUAGCUGGUUGGUGAGGUAACGGCCCACCAAGGCAACGAUCGGUAGCCGGACUGAGAGGUUGAACGGCCACAUUGGGACUGAGACACGGCCCAG
rnacentral:rRNA from 1 species